AAUUUAAUUGAUAUAAACAAGAAAAUGCAACUACUAACCUUUCAAGCGGCGAGUUCGACUGUAACUUCCGGUGUGUGUAUAUCCAUCACGUAAUUUUGAUUGUACCCCUUGAUUGUACAUUAACAAGAAUUUCUAUUACAAUUGCAGGAGUAAAUUCUAAGAUAGGAAUUAACUUUCAAGGGGAGACUAGCACAAUUAACAGCAAGAUUUGUUCAUUCAAUGGGAGACAACUCAUUUUCAUUAUUCAAAUUAGUUGAGUGCAGAAUUCAAAUCAUAAACCUUGACUACUUUUGUUUGUUUUUCAAUCUUUACAAAAUAUGUGGAUUUUAUACUAUUGGUACUUGAAGUACUUUCUGUGGCAUGUUUUCAUGGUGUGGGAAUAAGACUUGGUGGUCAAAUACAGCUAAUAUGUAGGUUAGCACCACAGCUUGUCUGCAAGGAUUGAAGCUGGGAAACGGCCAUUGGAGCUGAAUUUUAUGGAAGCUGUGGCUGCAGCAAUGAUUAUGUGAUAAAACUGAAGAAUGUAAUUCAAAUUUUUUUUGUAUAUAUUUCAAAAAAUGUAAUUUUUUAUAAAAAAAAAAAAAAAAAAAAAAAAAGGUGUAAAGAUUCUCCAUUUUCAAUUAGAUUGGAAGUUUGUAUUUACAAUUGUUAGAUCUUCUUCGUUAUUCCCCCACCCCCUGUAUCUCUAUUUCAUUUUUACUUUGAAAAUGAAAUGAACAGACAAAUUUUACUUGUCAACUUAAUAAUGGUCUGUCUAGUCAAAAGGCCUCCAGUUGGUUUAGAAUGGAGAAUCUAAAAAAAAAUAUGUAAAGUGUUUUUUUUUAGUUUCCUGAAUUUUUAUAUACAUUUUGUUAUUGCUCCCUUUCAAUUUUUAUAAAUUCCAGAUUUUAAGUUUUGGAUUUAUGGGGCUUUAUUCAUAAAAAAGGGGGAUUUUUCACACCUGGACAAUAACUCCAAAAGGCUUUCACCAAUGUCCAUGAAACUUUGGUGAAUUGUUUAUAUCUAUUGACAUAAGCUCCCUUUCCCUUUUUAUUAAUUUUAGAUUUUACGUUUUCUUAAGUAAUGAAUUUUUAUACUUAAAAAGGGGGAUUUUAUGCAGUUUUGGUGAAACUUAAAAGAGCAACGGCCGUAUCAUGUGCUAAAGCGCAUCCCUUUAUUGAAAUGUGUUGUAGUUUUUACAUAUUAUUAUUUCUUUAUUUUAAUUAUACAAAUUUAGUAUUGUUAAAUAUUUAAAGGGUGUGGAGUCUCAACAGGGUGAAAUUUUCAGGACAAAAGGGAGGUAAUUCCUUUGUUAUACUCAUUAUACUUGAAAUUUCCUGAGUGUUUAUAUGGAAUAUAACUUUUUUAAUUAAAAUAUUCACUUUUGUACACAUUUUCUUUAAAUAUCAGAUGUAUACUUGCUAAAAUUACUAUUAUUUAGAGUUCUGUAAAUAAAAAAAAAUGUAAGCAGAGCUCUAGCUAUAGAUAAUAGAUUUGGAGGGUGGGAGAAAUUGUGGGUAACUACAAUUGAUUAGGUGAAAUUUCAAAAGACUUAAAAAGUGCAUCUGAUAUUUAUUUUUACAUAAUGUUAUUUCUGAAAGCAAAUGGACAAUAAGAUGAGGACAUAAACCACCUUCCAGGUUAGGAUAGCAGCUCUUAAGGAAGAUGGUUAAUUAAAUCUUCAACCCAGUCUGAGGCCUUACCAUGAAAAAUAUGUGGUUAGCAUCACAAGUUUCCUUUGGGUAACUUGCUUGAGGAGUAAAGAGAGCUGUAUAAGUUGAAAGUGUCACCUUUGCUGCCUUGUGUGGUACAAUCUUCAGACAAUAUCCUGCAAACCGUGGCUGAACUGUUACUAUCUUUUUUUAGUAGAAUCCUUAGACAGUAAUCUUGUGGCAGAAUGAGUUGUAAACAAAUUGUUUUUUUUUCCUGUAUUGAGUUUCAAAUUGGAUAUUUUUUAUUUAUAUUAUUUGUAUUCCAUUUGCAUUCAAUUAUUGUUUUUUAAUUGAUGAAUCAUUAAAACUUAAAUUUUGCGGGGUCCUAAAGGACUUUCUUAUAGGGGGCCAGCGCAAUUGAUUAAACAAAAUUUUUCCCGCAACAGGGAGAGGAGACAUCCCCAUAAAUAUGCCUUUGAAAUGGGGUGUUAAAGAAGAUUUGUAUUGUUUGUCUGUUUGUCCAUCAUCAGCUCUCAUCCACAGCUUGGUAGAUUUUCAUUGAAACUUUCAGCUGAUUUUCUGUACUAAAGGCAGUAUGUUUUUUAAUUUAUUAUAAUGAAAUUUUGGGUUUUCCCAACCUUUUUGAAGUGAAAACAAUGGAACACAGUGUUGGCAGAUACUGAAGAUUAUUUGAAAGUUUAGAGAAAGUCCCAUUUAAUCUUGAUAAUUGUGGGUUAAAGUUGUAGAUGGAUAAACAAACAUAUCAAUGUCAACAUUUAUUUUGUAUAAAUGUAAUAUUAUGCUAAUGAUACAAAACCCAUGAUGCAGAUCCUUUUCCUCCUUUUUAUUGUAGAGAUAAUUUACAGACGUGUCCAAAAUCAUAUCUCUAGAAUCAAUUUGUUUUUUGAUAUUCGUACACACCUAACAAAAGCAGAUUGUGUUUGGUUUCAUUUGGAUAUUUU